rnacentral:rRNA from 1 species
UGUAAAUAGCUUGUUUAAAGUUUGGGGAAUAUAGAAGGGAGUUAAGAAAAAUAAUUUUAUAAUUUUAGUAAUUUUUAAUGAAAAUUAAGUAAAGACUAGAGAGAAAAGUACUGUGAAGGAAAGUUGUUGAGAUUUUAUAUAGAAAAAGUAAAAUUUUGUGCCUCGUGUAUCAGAAAAAAUUUAUAUAAUUUAGUUAAUGGUAAGUAUCUCGAAAUAAAAUAUAGUAAUUUUUAUAAAAUUUUCUUUUUAGAAAAAAAGAAUUUAAUAUAAAAUUUAAAGUGAAAUGCUAGCUGAGUUUUAUGAUAUCUAGUUUUUUAAAAAAUAAAUUUAAUUUAAUUUUUACGAAGAAAGAAUUGUAAAAUUAAAUGGUAGGGGGGAUUAGCUCUUUACGGAAAAGUCAAUGAAAUAGGUAGAUAUAAAGAAAUUAUAUAAAUUAGGCUUAGAAGUAGCUAUAUUGAAAAAGUGUUUUAACUAAAUUAUAAUUACUUGAAUAUUUAAGAUAACUUUUGUUAGGUAUUAAAAAAACGGUUUAAACAAAAUAAAACGAAAUAUAAUGAUUUUAUUAGUAAAAUUUAUUAAGUAAAUAAAAAU